rnacentral:rRNA from 1 species
CUACGGGUGGCAGCAGUGGGGAAUAUUGCACAAUGGGCGCAAGCCUGAUGCAGCCAUGCCGCGUGUAUGAAGAAGGCCUUCGGGUUGUAAAGUACUUUCAGCGGGGAGGAAGGGAGUAAAGUUAAUACCUUUGCUCAUUGACGUUACCCGCAGAAGAAGCACCGGCUAACUCCGGGCCAGCAGCCGCGGUAAUACGGAGGGUGCAAGCGUUAAUCGGAAUUACUGGGCGUAAAGCGCACGCAGGCGGUUUGUUAAGUCGGAUGUGAAAUCCCCGGGCUCAACCUGGGAACUGCAUCUGAUACUGGCAAGCUUGAGUCUCGUAGAGGGGGGUAGAAUUCCAGGUGUAGCGGUGAAAUGCGUAGAGAUCUGGAGGAAUACCGGUGGCGAAGGCGGCCCCCUGGACGAAGACUGACGCUCAGGUGCGAAAGCGUGGGGAGCAAACAGGAUUAGAUACCCGUGUAGUC